ACACACGCUGACAGCGGUAGACCAAUCACAACAGACUGGGACAUCUGACCAAUCAGAGUAGAGUAUGUUCUCUGAAAGGAGGAGUUUAGACUGAAUCCUUUAGAACGGAUCAUUUAAUGAGUCGUUUUUGACGCUGGGGAAAAAAGGGUUAUAAUCCUGAGGUCUGGCUAAACUUCAACCACCAACUGGGGGAAACAUCCAAACAGGAGAAUGGAGAACAUUUCUUCUUACGACUAAGGCUCGGGUGCAGACGAGGAUGCAGCUCGGUGAGCUCACACACGGCGUUUACCGACAGCACGAGAAAGCCCUCACGCUUCAGGGAAGUCCCGACACGCCCUGGAGAGCACUGCCACGCCAGCCUCACACAAACCCUCACACACUCACUUGCCAUUUUUAAUAGAAACACCUGUACACUUGUGCAUUCAUGCAAUUAUCCAAACAGGUGGCUGCGGCGCAAUGCAUAAAAUCAUGCCGAUACAGGUCAAGAGCUGACAGGAGUCGAACCUGAUGUGGCCUUUUGUAGCUCAUCCGCCUCAAGGUUUAGCAUGCUGUGCGUUCUGAGAUGCUUUUUUGCUCAGCACAGGUGUAAAGAGUGGUUAUUUGAGUUGCUAUCCGCUCAAACCAACC